rnacentral:rRNA from 1 species
GUGGGGAAUUUUGGACAAUGGGCGCAAGCCUGAUCCAGCAAUGCCGCGUGUGUGAAGAAGGUCUUCGGAUUGUAAAGCACUUUAAGUUGGGAGGAAGGGCAGUAAGUUAAUACCUUGCUGUUUUGACGUUACCGACAGAAUAAGCACCGGCUAACUUCGUGCCAGCAGCCGCGGUAAUACGAAGGGUGCAAGCGUUAAUCGGAAUUACUGGGCGUAAAGCGCGCGUAGGUGGUUUUGUAAGUUGGAGGUGAAAUCCCCGGGCUCAACCUGGGAACUGCCUCCAAAACUGCAUGACUAGAGUACGGUAGAGGGUAGUGGAAUUUCCUGUGUAGCGGUGAAAUGCGUAGAUAUAGGAAGGAACACCAGUGGCGAAGGCGACUAUCUGGACUGAUACUGACACUGAGGUGCGAAAGCGUGGGGAGCAAACAGGAUUAGAAACCCUUGUAGUCC